rnacentral:misc_RNA from 1 species
UAGCGAUAAUCAUGACCUAACCACACAUUAUAUUAGUCGCUACUCAUUGAGAACUCGAAUACGGUGCAUUUCAGCGGACAAUGAAUGAAGUGGCGCUCGAGGGCGGGCGCCCGCCCCCUUACAGGCGGCAGCGAUUUUUACAAAGAACUCCCUCAUUUAAGAAAAUAUACAUAAUAAUGUAAAAUCUAAGGUGUCAUUAAUAUUUAGGUAAACUUACGCAGAUUUUUUUAAACUGCAAACAAAAAGUAUGAAAAUGUGUCUGCAUUUAGAUCGAUUAUCGCACACUUUUGACUCUCAUAACUCGCGGCAAGCAACCCCUCGCGCCCGCCCCGCCCUCUCGACCAGCCGAGUGCUGACUGUGUGGUCGUCGAGUCAGCCGGAGGCCUUCGCGGCGCUGACACCGCAGUCUGCUGCGCGGGAAUUUAUAAAGUUUCGAGAUGGACACGGAAGAGUUCAGGGUUCGAGGGAAGGAGAUGGUGGAUUACAUCUGCACGUAUAUGAACACGCUGCGUAAGCGGCGCGUGACGCCGUCGGUGGAGCCGGGCUACCUGCGCGCCGCGCUGCCGGCCGAGGCCCCGCAGCACCCCGAGGACUGGGACACGGUCAUGGACGACGUGGAGAAGAAGAUCAUGCCCGGCGUCACGCACUGGCAGCAUCCGCGCUUCCACGCCUACUUCCCAUCGGGCAACGCGUAUCCCUCCAUCUUGGGCGAUAUGCUGUCUGCUGGCAUCGGGUGCAUUGGAUUCUCAUGGGCAGCCAGCCCGGCCUGCACAGAGCUGGAAAUCAUUAUGCUGGAUUGGAUGGGUAAAGCGAUCGGGCUGCCGCCGGCGUUCCUCGCGCUCGAACAGGGGAGUAUGGGCGGCGGCGUUAUUGAGGGUUCAGCCAGCGAAUGCGUGCUAGUGUCUAUGCUGGCCGCCCGCGCCAACGGCAUCAAGCGCCUCAAGCACCAGUUCCCCAAUGUGGACGAAGGCCUCCUGCUCUCCAAGCUCAUCGCCUACUGCUCCAAGGAGGCCCACUCCUGCGUCGAGAAGGCCGCCAUGAUCUGCUUCGUCAAACUACGCAUCUUACAGCCCGAUGAACACGGCUCGCUGAGAGGCGACACUCUUAAGCAGGCGAUGGAAGAAGACGAAGAGGCGGGUCGCGUACCGUUCUUCGUAUCCCUGACGCUGGGCACGACCUCCUGCUGUUCAUACGACGACCUUCCCGGGAUCGGACCCAUCGUCCGCAAGUUCCCCUGCGUAUGGCUACAUGUAGACGCGGCCUAUGCGGGUUCUGCGUUCCUCUGUCAAGAGCACAAGCAUCAUCUGGCUGGGGUCGAAUACGCGGAUAGCUUCAACACUAACACCAACAAGCUCAUGCUUACGAACUUCGACUGUUCCCUGCUGUGGGUUACCAACAGGUACCUGCUGACAUCAGCGUUAGUGGUGGAUCCGCUGUACCUCCAGCACUGCUACGACCACACGGCCAUCGAUUACCGCCACUGGGGUAUCCCGCUGAGCCGGCGGUUCCGCUCGCUCAAGCUGUGGUUCAUGCUGCGCAGCUAUGGCAUCAGCGGCCUACAGCGCUACGUGCGCCGCCACUGCGAGCUGGCCAAGUACUUCGAGCAACUGGUUAGAAAGGACGACCGGUUCGAAGUCUGCAACAAAGUCACACUGGGUCUCGUGUGCUUCCGACUAGUGAGUGGCGGCGAGAAUCCCUCGGAGCAAGACGAGAUCAACAAGAAACUGCUGACCACAAUGAAUGCGUCCGGGAAAAUCCACAUGGUGCCUGCGAAUGUGCGCGAUCGCUUCGUCAUCCGCUUCUGUGUUGUGGCGCAGCACGCUACACGCGAAGACAUUGGAUCUCAACGAGGAGCGAGCUCGACGGCACCGCGCCGCACUCGCCCACAAACGCUCAUUCUUCGUGCGUAUGGUCAGCGACCCCAAGAUCUACAAUCCGGCCAUCAACAAGACCCCUCCACCCGUGCCGGCCACACCGGGCUCUCCACCCCCGGCACCCGCGCCGCAGACCCCGGACACGCCGUGCGACGACGGCGUGCAGCUUGAACCGCCCACGCCAAAACAAGCAUCCUGGAUCAGCUGGCCGCUGGCGUUCUUCUUCCAGAGCGUUGACCACGACGCAAACGAUUUACCAUUAAGGUUCCGUCACCUAGACACGAUGGUGCGGCUGAAGAGUCCCGGCGCGGCGGGGCGGCGCGG